AAUAUUAAUUCGAUAAAAUGCGAAUUAUCUGAUUGGGUAUCUAAAACUUCUGAAUACUCUCGGAAAUUUCCGCGAUCGUCUACUCUGAUGAAGGACCCAAAGAAGGUUUACUGUAUCGAUAUUUAAUCACUGCCAUUUCUGAGAAUCGAACUACUAUUGCAUAAUUGUUGUUUUCCCUAGCUCUUCUCAGCCCGUUAUAUUAUUAAAAAUAUAGUAAAGGAUAUUAAGAGAAAAAACUGAGGCGGACAUCGGCGUAUAUUUUACUUUAAUAUUGUAUUUUCGAUAUCUUAUGUAAAGGUUAUUAGGUAUUUUCGUACACACACGCUGAUUUGAUUUAUCGCAUUGGUUAUCAAUCACCGUGAUCAAAAUAAUAUUAUUUUAUCCUUAUCAAAAAUAUUGUUAAAAUAUAGCUGUAUAAUUCAAAAUAAAAGAAUUCAUCAGUGUUUGAAAUUGUUUGAUAAAAAAAUGGAAUAGGGUUUAAAUACAGCCUUUACCCAUACAGUUGAAUUUAUGGAGGCUAACAUUUUUGAUUUGUAUACGUUUACAUAUGACUUAUAAUAUACGUAUAGUUUAAGCUCGGAAGUCAUUUGCCCAAAAGGGUUAGAUAGGUAACCAUCGAAAACUGGGGCGGGGUAUCUUUGUACACAUAAUUAUCACCGUCCGUGUACCUAUUUUGCAUGGUUUAACAGUGUUCCGAAAGUUUUUGGACGGGAAAACGCGGCGUAAGG